UCUUGUAUAACCAUCCAGUGUUAGCUUGUCUUGUUCAACUAUCCAGAGCUAGCUUGUCCUGCAUAACCAUCCAGAGUUAGCUUGUACUUGUUCAACCAUCCAGUGUUAGCUUGUACUUGACUUGUCUCCUAUCCUUAAUGUUUCCAAUCUUCAAAUGUUGUUUUUUUUCUUAGUUCAAGUUUUUAGGUGAUGGUUUUAAGGUUUUUAAAUGAAUUUUAACAAUGUAAACAAUAUUUAUAACAAAUUGUAACUUUGGUUAUUGUUUUAAUUCAAUUGGUCUGAGUAUUUGUGAGAACUAGUAAAUCAAUUGUUGAAUAUCUUUAUGACACUUUUAGUUAAGUACAAAUAAUUUAUUUUUUGUUCUAAGUGGAUGACAUACCAAUAGUUUGUAGUUUGCAUUGACCUGACUUCGCUGAAUCGUAUUUGGAUUUGGUUUUAUGAAUGUGGCAUGAUGUACAAGAAGAUAACUGUCGUACAUCAUUGUAUGCUUCCAGAUUAAUUUAACAAACAUAUUAGUCUGUUGGUCAUCACACAGAUCUGUAAUGGGUCUUUUUCAUGUAGCUGUCUUCAGCAGAGAGACAGGCAGUAUUUGAAUAGACUAACUUGAUUACAUGAAAAUAAAAACUUUCUUUUCAAAUAGCUGGAUCUGGAGAAUGCAAAUGUUUUAUUAUUUGAGGAAAUGGUGAUUGAUGACAAAAUGUGAUGUUGGUUUGUUAGCCUUUUAUUAUGGCUCCAAGGUGAGAUCAAUGUGCCAUUGUAUUCUAUGUCAGGGUUUUUGCAAAUAUUGUUUUGUGUUUUUGGCUUUGAUUUUUUUUUAGCUUGAAAUAUCCAACACUUAUACUUUUUUGUCUGCAAAUUGUAUUGAAGCCGUGAUAGAGUGACAUCUCUAGAACAGAAUGCAAGAAUAACUUAUCAAAUUCAAUUAAAUAAUAAAGAUGAAGGUAUUAGUAAGUAGCUGAACUCCUGAUGCUUUAAGGACACUGUUAACUGAUUCUGACUCUUAUGAACUUAUUCUAACAAAUGAUUUAGAUCUAGUACAGAAUUGACCAGGUGUUUUAUUUCAAUGUAUUUUUUUCUUACAUUUUGUUUUGUUCUCUAGUUGUCAUCAAUACACAGAUAUGUAGCAGUGAGUCUGCUUUACUUGUGAUCUUGAGUGAAAAAACAUUCCAGUCGCAUUUGGUCAAAUCUCCACUCACAUCCAUCUCUGUGUUAUCUUCCUAAGAUAUAGAUACUUAAAUCGACUGUAUUGCCUCCCUGUACAAGUCCACAGCUAAUGUACAAUUUUUUUUUUAUUUCAUCAAUCCAAAAAAAAAAAAAAAAAAUUCUAUAGAAGUGGGUUGUCAAUAGAUUUUAUGGGGAGAAUCUGUGAUGGAAUCUGACAGAAAUAACACACUCUUGUCAAAAAAAUCCCCCCCCCCCCUCC